rnacentral:rRNA from 1 species
UCGGUCGGUUGUCGCUGGCCUUUUGCUAGGCAUGUGCACCCUUUACGAGGAGACCUCGCCUUAUGGGCGCGGGCCCCGCGCCCGCGUCUUCAUAUACCUCUUCGUGUAGAAAGUCUUUGAAUGUUUAUACUAUCGUCGAGUCGCGACUUCUAGGAGACGCGGUUCGACGAGACAAAAGUUAUUACAACUUUCAGCAAUGGAUCUCUUGGCUCUCGCAUCGAUGAAGAACGCAGCGAAUCGCGAUAUGUAAUGUGAAUUGCAGAUCUACAGUGAAUCAUCGAAUCUUUGAACGCACCUUGCGCUCCUCGGUGUUCCGAGGAGCAUGCCUGUUUGAGCGUCAGUAAAUUCUCAACCCCUCUCGAUUCGCUUCGAUAGGGCGUUUGGAUAGUGGGGGCUGCCGGAGACCUCGACUUUUCGUCUAGGACUCGGGCUCUCCUGAAAUGAAUAGGCUUGCGGUCGGCUUUCGACUAUGCAUGACAAGGGUUUCGGCGU